GAUGAACGCUAGCGGCAGGCUUAAUACAUGCAAGUCGUGGGGCAGCAUGAUGUAGCAAUACAUUGAUGGCGACCGGCAAACGGGUGCGGAACACGUACACAACCUUCCUUUUAGUGGGGAAUAGCCCAGAGAAAUUUGGAUUAAUACCCCAUAACAUAUAGAGAUGGCAUCAUCUUAAUAUUAAAGCUUCGGCGCUAGAAGAUGGGUGUGCGGCUGAUUAGGUAGUUGGCGGGGUAACGGCCCACCAAGCCUACGAUCAGUAGCUGAUGUGAGGGGAUCAUCAACAACACGGGCACUGAGAAACGGGCCCGACUCCUACGGGAGGCAGCAGUAAGGAAUAUUGGACAAUGGACGAAAGUCUGAUCCAGCUAUGCCGCGUGAAGGAUUAAGGUCCUCUGGAUUGUAAUCUUCUUUUAUUUGGGACGAAAAAAGAUCAUUCUUGAUCACUUGACAGUACCAGAUGAAUAAGCACCGGCUAACUCCGUGCCAGCAGCCGCCGUAACAC
rnacentral:rRNA from 1 species